ACGGAAGGCAGCAGUGGGGAAUAUUGCACAAUGGGGGAAACCCUGAUGCAGCGACGCCGCGUGAGUGAAGAAGUAUUUCGGUAUGUAAAGCUCUAUCAGCAGGGAAGAAAAUGACGGUACCUGACUAAGAAGCCCCGGCUAACUACGUGCCAGCAGCCGCGGUAAUACGUAGGGGGCAAGCGUUAUCCGGAUUUACUGGGUGUAAAGGGAGCGUAGGCGGUUAUGCAAGUCAGAUGUGAAAACCCGGGGCUUAACUCCGGGACUGCAUUUGAAACUGUGUAACUUGAGUGCAGGAGAGGUAAGUGGAAUUCCUAGUGUAGCGGUGAAAUGCGUAGAUAUUAGGAGGAACACCAGUGGCGAAGGCGGCUUACUGGACUGUAACUGACGCUGAGGCUCGAAAGCGUGGGGAGCAAACAGGAUUAGAUACCCUGGUA
rnacentral:rRNA from 1 species